rnacentral:rRNA from 1 species
UCAAAUCCGGCGUCAGUAAACAAAUGUAAUCAAUUACAACUUUCAACAACGGAUCUCUUGGUUCUGGCAUCGAUGAAGAACGCAGCGAAAUGCGAUACGUAGUGUGAAUUGCAGAAUUCAGUGAAUCAUCGAAUCUUUGAACGCACAUUGCGCCCUUUGGUAUUCCAAAGGGCAUGCCUGUUCGAGCGUCAUUUGUACCCUCAAGCUUUGCUUGGUGUUGGGCGUCUUUUGUCUCCAGCUUGCUGGAGACUCGCCUUAAAGUCAUUGGCAGCCGGCCUACUGGUUUCGGAGCGCAGCACAAGUCGCGCUCUCUUCCAGCCAAGGUCAGCGUCCAGCAAGCCUUUUUUUCAACCUUUGACC